UGGGGAAUUUUGGACAAUGGGCGCAAGCCUGAUCCAGCCAUGCCGCGUGCGGGAAGAAGGCCUUCGGGUUGUAAACCGCUUUUGUCAGGGAAGAAAUCUUCUGAGUUAAUACCUCGGGAGGAUGACGGUACCUGAAGAAUAAGCACCGGCUAACUACGUGCCAGCAGCCGCGGUAAUACGUAGGGUGCAAGCGUUAAUCGGAAUUACUGGGCGUAAAGCGUGCGCAGGCGGUUUUGUAAGACAGAGGUGAAAUCCCCGGGCUCAACCUGGGAACUGCCUUUGUGACUGCAAGGCUUGAGUGCGGCAGAGGGGGAUGGAAUUCCGCGUGUAGCAGUGAAAUGCGUAGAUAUGCGGAGGAACACCGAUGGCGAAGGCAAUCCCCUGGGCCUGCACUGACGCUCAUGCACGAAAGCGUGGGGAGCAAACAGGGUUAGAUACCCUGGGUAGUCCACGCCCUAAACGAUGUCAACUGGUUGUUGGGAAGGUUCCUUCUCAGUAAACGUAGCUAACGCGUGAAGUUGACCGCCUGGGGAGUACGGCCGCAAGGUUGAAACUUAAAUGAAUUGAC
rnacentral:rRNA from 1 species